CGAAAAGACAAUAAGAGGAAAAAAUUUUGGGAAAUUUGCUGUUCAUGUGACUUUCUGCAAGGACACAGAACACACUUGUUUCCAAAGUUCCAAAGGUCUGGGUUCCCUCCCCAGUGCAUCUGGUCUCUGAACAGUCCAGUCACCCUCGGCCCCACCCCGUGUCCUAAGGCAGCCAGCCGGCUGGGCCCUGAAUAGCACAGAGCUCUGGUGGUGAGGGAGAGUAACUUGUCUUGGCAGGAUGGGGAGAGAGAAUGACGCACAUCACAGCGAGUGGAAAUCUGAGAAACGACGGAAGACCCAUCCUGCAGGCUGGGGUGGCCAAGGUGAACCAGCAAAGGUGACUUGCCACAUGGGUCCAAGAGGCUGGCAUGGCUCCACGUUGGACACCAAAGGUUGGAGGGCUGGGAGCGGUGGGCCCCACCAGAACCUCCGGGACAGAGCCUCAGCUGAUGGUGGCAACGGAAGACCCAGUUUCCUGCUGAGCAGGUCAGAGAAACCAUCUACUUAGGACGUGGAAACGACCAGAGGAGAAGAGUAAUACAUCCUAACCAAACCCAUCCAAAGGCUGGAGUGUCCUCUCAUCUACUAACUUUAAAACCCCAUAAUGGAAACAUCCGUUCUUAGAGGGACAAGAUCCCUCCAUCAGUCUCUUCUCUGCCUGUGGAUGGCUUUCUGGGAACCAACUUCCAAUCAGAAGCUCACUGGGGGUGAGAAUGAAGGACUUGGGUGAUUUUAAAGGCCCUCACCAUAUCCCCUACCCCUGGCCAACAGAGUCAGGAGUCUUCUUGCCUUCCCUAGGGGUUAGACUUGCCCAAAAGACCAUGAUUUCAGUGUCCUUGAUCAUGAUACCUCCCCUAGACCGUGUUGGAUGCACCAACCACAUUCCAUGUCUGGCCCCA
rnacentral:lncRNA from 1 species